UUUCACCAUUGUUACUAUUCACUUCAAACUUCCCAAGCUCAUAUCUUGAGCUACGGAGCUCCGAUCGCCGCACCGUUUGCGGCUACGCGUUCCUUGUGAAGAGCUCUACAAAACCCACCCAAGAAACCCUCAAGGUUUGCUCUAAUCCUUGCUUAGCUUUGGAUUUGUGUUAUCAAAUCUGUUGGGAAAGUUUGAUUAUUGUGGCUUUGGGAGCUUUUAGAACUUAUUUGUGCUUGUUGGAGUGAAUUUGAAAGCUUGGAUUGUGG